GCCCUGUUGGUGUAGUGGUAACAUACCUGUCUUCCAAACAGAGGUUGAGAGUUCGAUUCUCUCACAGGGCUC
rnacentral:tRNA from 1 species